UGUAAUGGCGAUUAAUACCGGAUACGAGGAAACUUGAAAGGUGCGUUAGCAUCGCUGAGGAAUGGGACUAACUCCUAUUAGCUUGUUGGUGAGGUAAUGGCUCACCAAGGCCAUGAUAGGUAGCCGGCCUGAGAGGGUGACCGGCCACAUUGGGACUGAGAUACGGCCCAGACUCCUACGGGAGGCAGCAGCUGAGAAUAUUCCGCAAUGGAGGCAACUCUGACGGAGCAAUCUC
rnacentral:rRNA from 1 species